UACGAAGGGUGCAAGCGUUACUCGGAAUUACUGGGCGUAAAGCGUGCGUAGGUGGUUCGUUAAGUCUGUCGUGAAAGCCCCGGGCUCAACCUGGGAAUGGCGAUGGAUACUGGCGGGCUAGAGUGCGGUAGAGGAGAAUGGAAUUCCCGGUGUAGCGGUGAAAUGCGCAGAUAUCAGGAGGAACACCGGUGGCGAAGGCGGGACUCUGGGCCGAUACUGACGCUGAGGAGCGAAAGCGUGGGGAGCAAACAGG
rnacentral:rRNA from 1 species